rnacentral:rRNA from 1 species
AUUGAACGCUGGCGGCAUGCUUUACACAUGCAAGUCGAACGGCAGCGCGGGCUUCGGCCUGGCGGCGAGUGGCGAACGGGUGAGUAAUGCAUCGGAACGUGCCCAGUAGUGGGGGAUAGCCCGGCGAAAGCCGGAUUAAUACCGCAUACGACCUGAGGGUGAAAGCGGGGGACCGAAAGGCCUCGCGCUAUUGGAGCGGCCGAUGUCGGAUUAGCUGGUUGGUGGGGUAAAGGCUUACCAAGGCGACGAUCCGUAGCUGGUCUGAGAGGACGACCAGCCACACUGGGACUGAGCCAGGGCCCAGACUCCUACGGGAGGCAGCAGUGGGAAUUUUGGACAAUGGGGGCAACCCUGAUCCAGCCAUGCCGCGUGCGGGAAGAAGGCCUUCGGGUUGUAAACCGCUUUUGUUCGGGAAGAAAUCCUCUGGGCUAAUACCCCGGGGGGAUGACGGUACCGGAAGAAUAAGCACCGGCUAACUACGUG